AUUGGAGUCUGCAACCCGACUCCAUGAAGCUGGAUUCGCUAGUAAUCGCGCAUCAGCCACGGCGCGGUGAAUACGUUCCCGGGCCUUGUACACACCGCCCGUCAAGCCAUGGAAGCCGGGGGUGCCUGAAGUGCGUGACCGCAAGGGACGCCCUAGGGUAAAACCGGUGACUGGGGCUAAGUCGUAACAAGGUAAC
rnacentral:rRNA from 1 species